UCGUAUGGGACUAACACAAUGAAUGUACCAUGCAAGAAAGGAUCCGGCUAACUUCGUGCCAGCAGCCGCGGUAAGACGAGGGAUCCUAGCGUUGUUCGGAAUUAUUGGGCGUAAAGCGGGUGUAGGCGGAUUUAUAAGUCAGGUGUGAAGUCCCAGGGCUCAACCCUGGAAGUGCAUUUGAUACUGUAGAUCUUGAGUGUGGUAGAGGUUACUGGAAUUCCUGGUGUAGUGGUAAAAUACGUAGAUAUCAGGAGGAAUACCGGAGGCGAAGGCGAGUAACUGGGCCAACACUGACGCUGAGACCCGAAAGCGUGGGGAUCAAACAGGAUUAGAUACCCUGGUAGUCCACGCCGUAAACGAUGGAUACUUGUUGUUAGAGGUAUUGACCCCUCUAGUGACGCAGCUAACGCGUUAAGUAUCCCGCCUGGGGAGUACGGUCGCAAGAUUAAAACUCAAAGAAAUUGACGGGGGCCCGCACAAGCGGUGGAGCAUGUGGUUUAAUUCGAUGCAACGCGAAGAACCUUACCUAGGCUUGACAUAAAUUGGAAGAGUAGCAGAAAUGUUCUCGCUCGCAAGAGUCGAUUUACAGGUGCUGCAUGGCUGUCGUCAGCUCGUGUCGUGAGAUGUUGGGUUAAGUCCCGCAACGAGCGCAACCCUUACCUUUAGUUGCCAGCAUUAAGUUGGGCACUCUAAAGGGACUGCCUGCGUUAAGCAGGAGGAAGGUGGGGAUGACGUCAAGUCCUCAUGGCCCUUAUGCCUAGGGCUACACACGUGCUACAAUGGUGGUCACAGAGGGAUGCCAAGUCGCAAGACGGAGCCAAUCCCUUAAAAGCCAUCUAAGUUCAGAUUGGUCUCUGCAACUCGAGACCAUGAAGUUGGAAUCGCUAGUAAUCGCGGAUCAGAAUGCCGCGGUGAAUACGUUCCCGGGCCUUGUACACACCGCCCGUCACACCAUGAAAGUUGGUCGUACCAGAAGUCGCAGUGCUAACCGUAAGGAGGUAGGCGCCCAAGGUA
rnacentral:rRNA from 1 species